GGGGGGUUAUGGGGCUGGGAUGGGGGGAUGUGGGGCUGGGGUGGAGAGAUGUGGGGCUGGGAUGGGGGGCUGAAGGGUUAUGGGGUUGCAAUGGGGGUUAUGGGGCUGGAAUGUCCUGCACUACCAUAGAGUUCAGAUUUCCAGCCCCACAGCUCCUUACCCCACACUACCAUAGAGUCCAGACCUCCAGAUCUCCGCCACCAUAGAGUCCAGAUCUCCAGUACCAUAGAGUCCAGACCUCCAUCACUAUAGAGUCCAGAUCUCCAGACCUCCAGUACCAUAGAGUCCAGAUUUCCAGUCUCACAGCUCCCAGCCCUGCAUUACCAUAGAGUCCAGACCUCCAGCCCCAAAGCUCCCAGCCACACAUUACCAUAGAGUCCAGACCUCCAGCCUCACAGCUCCCAGACACACACAACCAUAGAGUCCAGCCCUGCAUUACCAUAGAGUCCAGACCUCCAGCACCAUAGAGUCCAAACCUCCACCACUAUAGAAUGCAGACUUCCAGCCCCAUGGAGUCCAGACCUCCAGCACCAUAGAGUCCAGACCUCCAGCACCAUAGAGUCCAGACCUCCAGCACCAUAGAGUUCAGACCUCCAGCCCCAUAGAGUCCAGACCUCCAGACCUCCACAACCAUAGAGUCCAGACCCCCACCUCCACACCUCCCCCCAUCUCUUCCCCCCCCGCUCCCCCGCAGGCUUCACGACGGCGGCCUACCUGCGCGUCCACGCGGCGAAGGACCACGGCAGCACGCAGCCCCACGGCGCCCGUUCGCUGCGCUGCCGCCUCUGCGGCGUCCAUUGCGCCACGGCCGCCCAACUGCGAGGCCACCUGCAGACCCAUGGUCCGGCCCACGACGCUUCCGGUCCGGCUCACGGCGCUUCCGGUCCGACUCACGACGCUUCCGGUCCCGCCGCCGCAGCUUCCGGCCCCCCCCACUGCGAGGGAGGGGGAGCGGCGGAGUUGGGGUGAAUGGAGGUUUGGGGCAGCGCUGCCCCACAGCCGCCCUAUGGAUCCUCCCCACCCCUAUGGGGCACACGGAGCGGGGGGCACAGUGCAGAUGGGGGGCUGCCCCAUAGAUGUGUGGGGCUGCCCCAUAGAUCCGUGUUGGUGCCCCAUAGACGUGUGGGGCUGCCCCAUAGAUCUAGAUCAGCACCCCAUAGAUGUGUGGGGCUGCCCCAUAGAUCCAGAUCAGCGCCCCAUAGAUGUGUGGGGCUGCCCCAUAGAUCCGGCUCAGUGCCCCGUAGAUGUUUGGGGCUGCCCCAUAGAUCUGGCUCAGUGCCCCAUAGAUGUGUGGGGCUGCCCCAUAGAUCCGGCUCAGCGCCCCAUAGAUGUGUGGGGCUGCCCCAUAGAUCCGGAUCAGCACCCCGUAGAACCAGACCAGCGCCCCAUAGAUGUGUGGGGCUGCCCCACAGAUCCGGCUCAGCGCCCCAUAGAUCCGUGGGGCUGCCCCAUAGAUCGCAGUCCCGUUCCCAUAGAUCCGUGGGGCUGCCCCAUAGCGCCCCCAGGCCCCGCCCACAGAUGUUCCGAGGCCCCGCCCCCAUUUUAAGCCCCGCCCCCCUUCCAAUAAAACCGCGCUGCGGCGCCCCCCGGGGGGCGGG
ensembl:lncRNA